AUUGAACGCUGGCGGCAGGCCUAACACAUGCAAGUCGAACGGUAACAGGAAGAAGCUUGCUUCUUUGCUGACGAGUGGCGGACGGGUGAGUAAUGUCUGGGAAACUGCCUGAUGGAGGGGGAUAACUACUGGAAACGGUAGCUAAUACCGCAUAACGUCGCAAGACCAAAGAAGGGGACCUUCGGGCCUCUUGCCAUCGGAUGUGCCCAGAUGGGAUUAGCUAGUAGGUGGGGUAACGGCUCACCUAGGCGACGAUCCCUAGCUGGUCUGAGAGGAUGACCAGCCACACUGGAACUGAGACACGGUCCAGACUCCUACGGGAGGCAGCAGUGGGGAAUAUUGCACAAUGGGCGCAAGCCUGAUGCAGCCAUGCCGCGUGUAUGAAGAAGGCCUUCGGGUUGUAAAGUACUUUCAGCGGGGAGGAAGGGAGUAAAGUUAAUACCUUUGCUCAUUGACGUUACCCGCAGAAGAAGCACCGGCUAACUCCGUG
rnacentral:rRNA from 1 species